rnacentral:rRNA from 1 species
CCUACGGGGGGCAGCAGUAGGGAAUCUUCCACAAUGGGCGAAAGCCUGAUGGAGCAACGCCGCGUGGGUGAAGAAGGUCUUCGGAUCGUAAAACCCUGUUGUUAGAGAAGAAAGUGCGUGAGAGUAACUGUUCACGUUUCGACGGUAUCUAACCAGAAAGCCACGGCUAACUACGUGCCAGCAGCCGCGGUAAUACGUAGGUGGCAAGCGUUAUCCGGAUUUAUUGGGCGAAAAGGGAACGCAGGCGGUCUUUUAAGGCUGAUGUGAAAGCCUUCGGCUUAACCGGAGUAGUGCAUUGGAAACUGGUCGACUUGAGUGCAGCAGAGGAGAGUGGAUCUCCAUGUGUAGCGGUGAACUGCGUAGAUAUAUGGCAGAACACCAGUGGCUACCGCGGCUCUCUGGUCUGUAACUGACGCUGAGGUUCGAAAGCGUGGGUAGCACACAGGAUUAGAUACCCGUGUAGUC